GUGAGGAAUAUUGCGCAAUGGAGGCAACUCUGACGCAGCCAUGCCGCGUGCAGGAAGAAGGCGCUACGCGUUGUAAACUGCUUUUAACCGGGAAGAAACCCCAGGACGUGUCCUGGGUUGACGGUACCGGAGGAAUAAGCACCGGCUAACUUCGUGCCAGCAGCCGCGGUAAUACGAAGGGUGCAAGCGUUAUCCGGAUUCAUUGGGUUUAAAGGGUGCGUAGGCGGAGCGUUAAGUCAGUGGUGAAAUCCUGCAGCUUAACUGUAGACGUGCCAUUGAUACUGGCGCUCUUGAGUGCGCUUGAAGUGGGCGGAAUGUGCCGUGUAGCGGUGAAAUGCUUAGAUAUGGCACAGAACACCAAUUGCGAAGGCAGCUCACUAAGGCGAUACUGACGCUGAGGCACGAAAGCGUGGGGAUCGAACAGGAUUAGAAACCCUUGUAGUCC
rnacentral:rRNA from 1 species